rnacentral:rRNA from 1 species
GGCAGUCAGAGGCGAUGAAGGACGUGCUAAUCUGCGAUAAGCGCCGGUAAGGUGAUAUGAACCGUUAUAACCGGCGAUUUCCGAAUGGGGAAACCCAGUGUGACUCGUCACACUAUCAUUAACUGAAUCCAUAGGUUAAUGAGGCGAACCGGGGGAACUGAAACAUCUAAGUACCCCGAGGAAAAGAAAUCAACCGAGAUUCCCCCAGUAGCGGCGAGCGAACGGGGAGGAGCCCAGAGCCUGAAUCAGCAUGUGUGUUAGUGGAAGCGUCUGGAAAGGCGCGCGAUACAGGGUGACAGCCCCGUACACAAAAGCGCAUGUGCUGUGAGCUCGAUGAGUAGGGCGGGACACGUGGUAUCCUGUCUGAAUAUGGGGGGACCAUCCUCCAAGGCUAAAUACUCCUGACUGACCGAUAGUGAACCAGUACCGUGAGGGAAAGGCGAAAAGAACCCCGGCGAGGGGAGUGAAAAAGAACCUGAAACCGU